UACGUAGGGUGCAAGCGUUAAUCGGAAUUACUGGGCGUAAAGCGUGCGCAGGCGGUUGUGCAAGACAGAUGUGAAAUCCCCGGGCUCAACCCGGGAAUUGCAUUUGUGACUGCACGGCUAGAGUGUGUCAGAGGGGGGUAGAAUUCCACGUGUAGCAGUGAAAUGCGUAGAGAUGUGGAGGAAUACCGGUGGCGAAGGCGGCAUCCUGGACCGGCAUUGACGCUGAUGAGCGAAAGCUAGGGGAGCAAACGGG
rnacentral:rRNA from 1 species